CUAGCGACAGGCUUAACACAUGCAAGUCGAGGGGCAGCACAGGUAGCAAUACCGGGUGGCGACCGGCGCACGGGUGAGUAACGCGUAUGCAACUUGCCUAUCAGAGGGGGAUAACCCGGCGAAAGUCGGACUAAUACCGCAUGAAGCAGGGAUCCCGCAUGGGAAUAUUUGCUAAAGAUUCAUCGCUGAUAGAUAGGCAUGCGUUCCAUUAGGCAGUUGGCGGGGUAACGGCCCACCAAACCGACGAUGGAUAGGGGUUCUGAGAGGAAGGUCCCCCACAUUGGUACUGAGACACGGACCAAACUCCUACGGGAGGCAGCAGUGAGGAAUAUUGGUCAAUGGCCGAGAGGCUGAACCAGCCAAGUCGCGUGAGGGAUGAAGGUUCUAUGGAUCGUAAACCUCUUUUAUAAGGGAAUAAAGUGCGGGACGUGUCCCGUUUUGUAUGUACCUUAUGAAUAAGGAUCGGCUAACUCCGUGCCAGCAGCCGCGGUAAUACGGAGGAUCCGAGCGUUAUCCGGAUUUAUUGGGUUUAAAGGGUGCGUAGGCGGCCUUUUAAGUCAGCGGUGAAAGUCUGUGGCUCAACCAUAGAAUUGCCGUUGAAACUGGGGGGCUUGAGUAUGUUUGAGGCAGGCGGAAUGCGUGGUGUAGCGGUGAAAUGCUUAGAUAUCACGCAGAACCCCGAUUGCGAAGGCAGCCUGCCAAGCCAUUACUGACGCUGAUGCACGAAAGCGUGGGGAUCAAACAGGAUUAGAUACCCUGGUAGUCCACGCAGUAAACGAUGAUCACUAGCUGUUUGCGAUACAUUGUAAGCGGCACAGCGAAAGCGUUAAGUGAUCCACCUGGGGAGUACGCCGGCAACGGUGAAACUCAAAGGAAUUGACGGGGGCCCGCACAAGCGGAGGAACAUGUGGUUUAAUUCGAUGAUACGCGAGGAACCUUACCCGGGUUUGAACGCAUUCGGACCGAGGUGGAAACACCUUUUCUAGCAAUAGCCGUUUGCGAGGUGCUGCAUGGUUGUCGUCAGCUCGUGCCGUGAGGUGUCGGCUUAAGUGCCAUAACGAGCGCAACCCUUGCCACUAGUUACUAACAGGUGAUGCUGAGGACUCUGGUGGGACUGCCAGCGUAAGCUGCGAGGAAGGCGGGGAUGACGUCAAAUCAGCACGGCCCUUACAUCCGGGGCGACACACGUGUUACAAUGGCGUGGACAAAGGGAGGCCACCUGGCGACAGGGAGCGAAUCCCCAAACCACGUCUCAGUUCGGAUCGGAGUCUGCAACCCGACUCCGUGAAGCUGGAUUCGCUAGUAAUCGCGCAUCAGCCAUGGCGCGGUGAAUACGUUCCCGGGCCUUGUACACACCGCCCGUCAAGCCAUGGGAGCCGGGGGUACCUGAAGUCCGUAACCGCGAGGAUCGGCCUAGGGUAAAACUGGUGACUGG
rnacentral:rRNA from 1 species